AAACACCUCAGCUUUGUGAAAGAUGGCAGGUUAGAGUCACAGUGCAAAAGGCCACUGGAUCAAAUACCAAAGCACUGUGACUAACAGGUGACUUUAUGAUGAAUCACAAUGUUUGUAGUUCAGGAGGAUGUCACAGUCAAAUCUCAUGCUUAGUGGAUUCAUCACCAUGUGUGGGGGCAGAAACUACUUCCACUCUUACCUUCCAUACUGCAUAACUGCCAGAUAGACAACUUCUGCCUCACACUUAAGGCCCCAAAGGAACAAGAAUAAAAGCAAUACUUAGAUUAUCAGGAACUACAAUGCCAAUGAAGGAAUGACAACCAUCAUUGUUGUCAACAACAUGUCAACAACAUCAACAAAUAGAAAGCAUUCCUCCAUUCAUCACUCCUUCUGGAACAAGGAAUGACCACAUGAGAACACAGUGAGAAGACAGCUAUCUGCAAGCCAGGAAGAGAGCCCUCACCUGCAACUGAAUUGGCCGGCCCCUUGAUCUUAGACUUCAGCCUCUGGAACUGAAGUAACAGAAUGAAAAAUACAGUCUUGAUGUUAUCUUUUGA
rnacentral:lncRNA from 1 species